AGCGUACACGGUGGAUGCCCUGGCAGUCAGAGGCGAUGAAGGACGUGCUAAUCUGCGAUAAGCGUCGGUAAGGUGAUAUGAACCGUUAUAACCGGCGAUUUCCGAAUGGGGAAACCCAGUGUGUUUCGACACACUAUCAUUAACUGAAUCCAUAGGUUAAUGAGGCGAACCGGGGGAACUGAAACAUCUAAGUACCCCGAGGAAAAGAAAUCAACCGAGAUUCCCCCAGUAGCGGCGAGCGAACGGGGAGCAGCCCAGAGCCUGAAUCAGUGUGUGUGUUAGUGGAAGCGUCUGGAAAGGCGCGCGAUACAGGGUGACAGCCCCGUACACAAAAAUGCACAUGCUGUGAGCUCGAUGAGUAGGGCGGGACACGUGGUAUCCUGUCUGAAUAUGGGGGGACCAUCCUCCAAGGCUAAAUACUCCUGACUGACCGAUAGUGAACCAGUACCGUGAGGGAAAGGCGAAAAGAACCCCGGCGAGGGGAGUGAAAAAGAACCUGAAACCGUGUACGUACAAGCAGUGGGAGCACGCUUAGGCGUGUGACUGCGUACCUUUUGUAUAAUGGGUCAGCGACUUAUAUUCUGUAGCAAGGUUAACCGAAUAGGGGAGCCGAAGGGAAACCGAGUCUUAACUGGGCGUUAAGUUGCAGGGUAUAGACCCGAAACCCGGUGAUCUAGCCAUGGGCAGGUUGAAGGUUGGGUAACACUAACUGGAGGACCGAACCGACUAAUGUUGAAAAAUUAGCGGAUGACUUGUGGCUGGGGGUGAAAGGCCAAUCAAACCGGGAGAUAGCUGGUUCUCCCCGAAAGCUAUUUAGGUAGCGCCUCGUGAAUUCAUCUCCGGGGGUAGAGCACUGUUUCGGCAAGGGGGUCAUCCCGACUUACCAACCCGAUGCAAACUGCGAAUACCGGAGAAUGUUAUCACGGGAGACACACGGCGGGUGCUAACGUCCGUCGUGAAGAGGGAAACAACCCAGACCGCCAGCUAAGGUCCCAAAGUCAUGGUUAAGUGGGAAACGAUGUGGGAAGGCCCAGACAGCCAGGAUGUUGGCUUAGAAGCAGCCAUCAUUUAAAGAAAGCGUAAUAGCUCACUGGUCGAGUCGGCCUGCGCGGAAGAUGUAACGGGGCUAAACCAUGCACCGAAGCUGCGGCAGCGACGCUUAUGCGUUGUUGGGUAGGGGAGCGUUCUGUAAGCCUGUGAAGGUGUGCUGUGAGGCAUGCUGGAGGUAUCAGAAGUGCGAAUGCUGACAUAAGUAACGAUAAAGCGGGUGAAAAGCCCGCUCGCCGGAAGACCAAGGGUUCCUGUCCAACGUUAAUCGGGGCAGGGUGAGUCGACCCCUAAGGCGAGGCCGAAAGGCGUAGUCGAUGGGAAACAGGUUAAUAUUCCUGUACUUGGUGUUACUGCGAAGGGGGGACGGAGAAGGCUAUGUUGGCCGGGCGACGGUUGUCCCGGUUUAAGCGUGUAGGCUGGUUUUCCAGGCAAAUCCGGAAAAUCAAGGCUGAGGCGUGAUGACGAGGCACUACGGUGCUGAAGCAACAAAUGCCCUGCUUCCAGGAAAAGCCUCUAAGCAUCAGGUAACAUCAAAUCGUACCCCAAACCGACACAGGUGGUCAGGUAGAGAAUACCAAGGCGCUUGAGAGAACUCGGGUGAAGGAACUAGGCAAAAUGGUGCCGUAACUUCGGGAGAAGGCACGCUGAUAUGUAGGUGAAGCGACUUGCUCGUGGAGCUGAAAUCAGUCGAAGAUACCAGCUGGCUGCAACUGUUUAUUAAAAACACAGCACUGUGCAAACACGAAAGUGGACGUAUACGGUGUGACGCCUGCCCGGUGCCGGAAGGUUAAUUGAUGGGGUUAGCGGUAACGCGAAGCUCUUGAUCGAAGCCCCGGUAAACGGCGGCCGUAACUAUAACGGUCCUAAGGUAGCGAAAUUCCUUGUCGGGUAAGUUCCGACCUGCACGAAUGGCGUAAUGAUGGCCAGGCUGUCUCCACCCGAGACUCAGUGAAAUUGAACUCGCUGUGAAGAUGCAGUGUACCCGCGGCAAGACGGAAAGACCCCGUGAACCUUUACUAUAGCUUGACACUGAACAUUGAGCCUUGAUGUGUAGGAUAGGUGGGAGGCUUUGAAGUGUGGACGCCAGUCUGCAUGGAGCCGACCUUGAAAUACCACCCUUUAAUGUUUGAUGUUCUAACGUUGACCCGUAAUCCGGGUUGCGGACAGUGUCUGGUGGGUAGUUUGACUGGGGCGGUCUCCUCCUAAAGAGUAACGGAGGAGCACGAAGGUUGGCUAAUCCUGGUCGGACAUCAGGAGGUUAGUGCAAUGGCAUAAGCCAGCUUGACUGCGAGCGUGACGGCGCGAGCAGGUGCGAAAGCAGGUCAUAGUGAUCCGGUGGUUCUGAAUGGAAGGGCCAUCGCUCAACGGAUAAAAGGUACUCCGGGGAUAACAGGCUGAUACCGCCCAAGAGUUCAUAUCGACGGCGGUGUUUGGCACCUCGAUGUCGGCUCAUCACAUCCUGGGGCUGAAGUAGGUCCCAAGGGUAUGGCUGUUCGCCAUUUAAAGUGGUACGCGAGCUGGGUUUAGAACGUCGUGAGACAGUUCGGUCCCUAUCUGCCGUGGGCGCUGGAGAACUGAGGGGGGCUGCUCCUAGUACGAGAGGACCGGAGUGGACGCAUCACUGGUGUUCGGGUUGUCAUGCCAAUGGCACUGCCCGGUAGCUAAAUGCGGAAGAGAUAAGUGCUGAAAGCAUCUAAGCACGAAACUUGCCCCGAGAUGAGUUCUCCCUGACUCCUUGA
rnacentral:rRNA from 1 species